AGGCAAUCAAAAACAUCCUAUUAAUGAAGCCAUAAUGUCUUAUUUUGAUUUUGUGACUCUUGUUAUUCUUUCAAAGGUACUUCUUGUGCAUGGAACACGCUUAAAAGGAGGACCGAAAAGCCCCUUCAAAGCCUCAGCUUCAAGAUCUGUUUCCAUAAGAUUAAGUGCAUUCUGGACCAGAGAUCAGGUAGGUUAAAAGGUACCCAGAACAGAUCACGUUAGAAUCUUGGAGCAUAAUACAGUCCAUGGAUGUACCAAAUUUGUCUUUCUUUUCACUGUUUGGCUGGGUCUUUUUUUAAUAGUAUUUCAUUUUAUAAAAGCAGAUCACAACCUUUCAGCCUGCUGUUCUGCUUUUAUUUUAUUUGUGCUUUGUAACAGUACAGAGAACAGUUACAGAUGCCUUUUUUUUUUUUUUUUCAUAUUCUCUGACAUCUCCUUUUCCCAAGAGCUUCAAAUAUCAGGAUCUUUUGAGGGCACAAAAAAACCCCAAAAGUUCAGAAAUUCAAAUGCAAAUAGUUUGUUCUACAGAUCAACUCAAUAACCAAAAUGCAAAAUAUCUGAUCUGAUAAUAAGCUUUCUUAUUCACCUCACCAGUAUUUCUGAAGAUUCAUGUUAAAUACAAGGACUAGAAAACAGUUGAGCCAGAUGCGAUACCUUACGCCACGACACAUGUAGGUUAUGCUGGACCAAAAGGUAUUUACCCAGGUCAGUGGAGGUAACUGUAUUGUGAGAGCAAUCUGUCAGGGCAGAGAUCUGAGGUGGAAAAUUGUACUUCAGGUGCCCAGUGAAACCACUGAAGAAGUUUUUAUGUCCUGUUUUGCUGAAUAUCGGAUUCAUGAACAUCUAUGGACUCAAAAGGUCCAUACUCCAACAGACUCCUACAGACAUCAUUCCUGAUAAGACAUCUUCUCCAAGAAUGGCAUUUAGAUUCAAUUUGUGUUUAGAUUCAGUUUUUGGAUAGGACUACUGCUCCAGCCUGGAAGAAAAAUAUGCUGGACAUAAUUUGAGGAGAGCAAUGUUUUUUUUCUUCCCUUUUCUGAAGGGAGAAAAGUCAACUUUUGAGCACCUAAGUAAGAGGUUUAGAGUGAGUAUUACACUGUCACUGUGUUAAUUGUUUUAAUUUGUACAUUUACUGAAAUUUAGACAGCAGUCCUAAUAAAGAAAAAUAAGCCCUGAUCCA
rnacentral:lncRNA from 1 species